AGGCCCCACUUAUGUGCUGUAUGAAAUUCUUACUCUGCAUCUCUGGAAAUCGUAGAAUAUUUCUUUUCAUUGGCUGGGAACCCACAAUUUAGCACAUGUAUUAUGUGAUGUCAUUAAGAUCCUACUGCACAUGAAGUAAAUGGAAGGAAUCUACACAUGUGGGAGAACUAGGAGAACCUCAAAAGCAUGAAAGUCCAUGAAGGGAGGCCGACAAGACGCCGUUACAGAAGAUACCGGGAGAAUCACAGAGGUGAGCAGCCCUGGACAAGGGCAGGUGCCCUGGAAAGAUACCGCCUGGCCCCAUGUGCCAGCUGCCCUACCAGGGUCUCCCAGUCCACUGACUGUCUGUCUUCUCUGCCAACAGUUCGGGAUGCCCAUGACUCUUCAAAGCCCUCAAAGAAACCGUAAGUGGAACCAUUCACUCUGGAGUGUGACAGCCUUCUCUGGUCAACCCCACGAAAUGAGGUCCCGCUAAUGCUGUGCUUUGCCUCUUCACAGAUGUCCCAAACACCCGGAGCUGGAUGGUGUGCCUAGACUAACCCAACAGUUCAACACAAUCCUCGAGGACCUCAACAGAUACAUUGAAAUGUACAGCUUUGAGAUUACUGAGUGCACUGAUGACUCCCUCAAUCCCAUCAGUACAACGGAAACCAGCUCCUCUUCAGGGAUGUCUCUGUCCACUGGGAGAAGGAACUCCUGCACUUCUGUCGUCAAAAUGAAAGCCCACCGCUCUUCGAAGACCUCUCCAUCAUCCUGUAGCAAUGUAUCCAUCACUUCUGUUUUGGACAUGGAUCCCUGCUGCUCUUCAAGGGCCUCCUUUUCCACUUGGAGUGACAACUCCCUUGCUGCCAUUGUGGCAACAAACACCAGUUGCUCUUCAAAGGCCCCACUGAUCCCAUACAAGGACGACUCCCACACUUACACCAGGAUGAGUGAAGGUGCUUCACAGCUGUCACUCACAACUCUUCUGAACGGAGCAGACAUGGUUCAAGCUUCCACAGUCCAGCCUUGUCUGCUUCCCAGUACUGUCCCAGAGGAGCAGCAUGACAUGGGCACACAUCCACCCUGCACAGAAGAGAUGGCCAGCUGCCACAGGGCCUACAGAGUGAAGCAGCAACAGAAAGAACUCCAGGACCAGCAGGGUGCUCCCACCCUACCUCCACUGGUGCCUGAUUCCCAGUCCAGGGAAACGGAGGUGCAACAGAAAGAACUUCAGGACCAGCAGGGUGCUCCCACCCCACCUCCACUGGUGCCUGAUUUCCAGUCCGUGGAAACGGAGGUGCAAGAGAAACAAGUCCAGGACCAGCAGGGUGCUCCCACCCCACCUCCACUGGUGCCUGACUCCCAGUCCAGGAAAACAGAGGUGCCUUUCCCACAUCAAGAAACCCAGGAGACCGUGCACUGCCUUGCCCCAAGAAGGAAAGAAGAGGUGAAACUGGAGCUGCCGACUGAUGGGGUGUGUUCUUGGCAGGAUAGCCCAGCCUCAGUUCCUCAAAUGUCUCAGAGACAACCAAAGCCUGAUGUGGUAGUGGUUCCCAUUGUGAAGGACAUACCAUUCCUGGAUGAGGCUGUAAAAAGGCAGCUGGAGCGUCACAUUAUAAAAAAGCAGAUACAGCGGCGCUUUGGACUGCCAGCAAAGGUCCUGGCCUAUGAGAAGGACUUUUUAGAACCUAUCCUGGAGCAACAAGAAUCCCAGCCCCCAUCUUCGCAGAUACGCACUGGGCAGCCCUACCGGUCACCCUUCCAGCAGUGGGACAGGCGCACCACAAAGUCAGCAGUGCGACCCCCUGGCCUGCAGCAAGAGUCCGCAGCCCAGAAGAAUACAUGCACACGAGGGACACAGACACCAGACCAGUCUGUGCCAGCAGCUAUUCCAAGAGUGGCACAAAGGAUGCCUCAGGAGGAUGGGAAGAGACCACAUUGGAAAAGGGAGUCUGGAGGAACAGCCAGAAGCAGCAGCAUGACCAGCAAGAAGACUUUGCCUUGCACCAAGAAGGAUCAGGGCUCUGGGACACAAAGUGACGGUCAAGGUACUUCCCCUUCCAUCCAGGAAGAGCAGGCACCGCCACUGAGCGAGGGAGCUCCCCAGGGGCAUUCAGGACAGGACUGUGUGAACCACAUCAUCUCCACUGAGACACAAGAAUUGCAACUGGAGAAGAAUGUUCCCACGGGAGAAGCAGAGCACUCCCAGGAAGGCCAGGGCUGCAUCAGUGGGGAUGUGUGGUCACCUGAGCUGCCAUCCAACAGGACAUCUUCUCCAAGAAGUAGUUCCCCACAGACACAGCGCUGCUCUUAUGAGACACCCUCAGCUCUGCCAGUGCCUCCAGACUCUGCUGGGACCAGUACUCAGAUCCCCUACCUGGAAGAGCUGCUCACAACACUUGUGGACUGCUUCAUGGCCAGAACAGCUGCUGAAAACCUGGAGAACCAGCUGCUGGCUUUAUGGCUGGAGCAGAAUUCAAGCACGGAGCAUGCAGCAGAGCACCCCGUUGCCUCACCACAUAGAAGACCAAAAGAAUCACAGAAGAGCAAGAGGCACACCCAGGAUGGAUCUGGCUCCAGGAGACGCUGCCCCAAGUGCAGCAGAUCCCCGCACUACAACCUGCCUGGCAGCGAUGGCUCCCAGCCUUCAGCUCCAUCUGAGGCUGCAACCCCAGGUGCAGGAAGGGACAGGACACCAGGAGAGAGGCAUCCACCCAAGGAAAGAGCCAAGAGGAAGCAGGGCCAGAAGGUGACUGCUGCUGCCACCCGGAAGCAGGAGGGGAUCCGUGUGUACAAAGAGGUGAUACUGAUCCCUCCAGUUGAGCAGGAGAGGCUUCCAUCCCAGCAAGCCCCUGCCUGGACCCUGCCAUCAGGAACACGGAGGCUCCCCAGACGUGUAGCAGCCAGACACAGGAAUCCGAGGACAGAGACACCACCUCUGCCAGGCACCUUCUGCUGCGUGCUCACCCCCAUCUGCUUUUGCCUUCAGUGUGCCUGGGCCAUGCUCCGAGAUGCAGGCAAGGCCCUACUUGCCCGCAUCAAGAAGUGA
rnacentral:lncRNA from 1 species